AUAUAAGAAAUGUCCAUGUUCUAAUCGAUUGUUGUUGUGGAGUCGGCAUACUGCUCGGAGGCGGCAGCGUCGGGAUCCGUCUCUCCGCGGCAUGCUUCAGAGUUGGUGGCGUUGAAUCCGGGCGAUGCUGGUGGGUUGCUGGUUACUGCUCUUCCUCUUCCUCUUCACUGGAGAUGGCGGCUCUUCUGUUGCCAACACACACAAACGCCUCAGCAGCACCUACUUCAUAAGUUGUUGUUCAUGUAGGGCCACUGGAGACUGAGCUCCCACCUGCACUUUUGGACGAACUUGUGCCGUUGCAUCUAGGCAUGCACCGGCAGAGGCAAAUGGUGUAGAGGACCAGGGCUCAUCAAGCAA